GAUGAACGCUGACAGAAUGCUUAACACAUGCAAGUCGAUGGGGAAGUGGUGCUUGCACCAUGGUAACCAUGGCGGACGGGUGAGUAACGCGUAAGGAACUUACCUGCGGGACCGGGAUAACAGCAGGAAACUGCUGACAAGACCGGAUAAGGUCAUUAAGCUGCAUAGCUUAGUGAUGAAAGGAGACGCCUGCGGAGAGCCUUGCGUCCUAUUAGCUAGUUGGAGGGGUAACGGCCCACCAAGGCGAAGAUAGGUAGCCGGCCUGAGAGGGUGGACGGCCACAAGGGGACUGAGAUACGGCCAUUACUCCUACGGGAGGCAGCAGUGGGGAAUAUUGGACAAUGGGGGCAACCCUGAUGCAGCAAUUCUGUGUGCACGAAGACGGUUUUCGGAUUGUAAAGUGCUUUCAGGAGGGAAGAAGGAAGUGACGGUACCUGCAGAAGAAGCGACGGCUAAAUACGUG
rnacentral:rRNA from 1 species